rnacentral:snRNA from 1 species
GUUGUAUUCAAUAGAGAGAACAAUAGGAACAAUAGAGAGAUUAGCAUGGUCCCACCACAAGAAUGACACACGAAUUUGUGAAGCAUUGCAUAGUUUU